rnacentral:snRNA from 14 species
UUACUGACCUGAGAGGAGAGCGCUAAGCCCAGGAAGGUGAUUUUCCCAAGGUGAGCCUCAUCCUUUGCCCUCUGGCUGUGCCAGCCCCUGCACUUUCCCCAAAUGUGGGGAAAUCAGCAGCAUCACUGUGCUGUGGCUGUGUGAGGAUGGCAUCCGUGUUGUUCCCCA